UCCUAUAUGUAUUUGCAUCUUUCAUGACAGCAUAUGCAGCAGGUAACUUCUACCAGAACUUUGAUAUUACUUGGGGUGAUGGUCGUGCCAAAAUACUCGAUAAUGGCCAACUUCUCACUCUUUCUCUCGAUAAAGCCUCUGGUUCUGGAUUCCAAUCCAAGAACGAAUAUCUCUUCGGCAACAUUGAUAUGCAGCUUAAGCUUGUACCAGGAAACUCUGCAGGCACCGUCACUGCUUACUAUGUAAGUACUACUAACACUUAAUUACACUCUUAAUGCUAAUGCUAUAAUAAUAUUCAACUUUCAAAUUCAUGAUCAUGUGUUAAUUAGUUUCUCUAUGUAUGCAGUUGUCAUCAAAAGGAUCAAAUUGGGACGAGAUUGAUUUUGAAUUCUUGGGGAAUGUGAGCGGAGAACCAUACAUUCUACACACCAAUGUGUUUAGUCAAGGAAAAGGCAACAGAGAGCAACAAUUCUAUCUUUGGUUUGAUCCAACUGCUGAUUUCCACACCUAUUCCAUUCUAUGGAAUCCUCAGCGCAUUAUGUAAGUACUGUUUACAAUUACAAUUACGAUACAUACACAAACACCAGAAACGAUACUCAGACAUUAACUUAUCGACACAUGAUGUUGUUAGACACCAACACGUAUCAGACACCAAACACAUCUUUAAUCUUAAGUCUAAGUGUUCUGGUAGAUUUAGAAUUCCUUCAAAAUGUAUCUAUUUCACACUAAAUUGAAUAUUGAUGAGCUUGUGCUUUUAUUGAAUGCAGUUUCUCAGUGGAUGGAACACCUAUAAGAGAAUUCAAGAACAUGGAAUCAAAAGGAGUUGCAUUUCCAAAGAAUCAGCCAAUGAGGAUAUACUCAAGUCUAUGGAAUGCUGAUGAUUGGGCAACAAGAGGUGGUAUUGUCAAGACUGAUUGGACAAAUGCUCCAUUCACUGCUUCUUACAGGAAUUUCAAUGCAGAUGCUUCUUCAUCCAAUGCAUGGUACUCUCAACAGUUGGAUUCAACAAGUCAACAGAGAUUGAAUUGGGUGCAAAAGAAUUACAUGAUUUACAAUUAUUGCAAUGACUCCAAAAGAUUUCCUCAGGGCCUUCCAACAGAAUGCACUGCAUCUUAAUUAAUCUUUCUUUAUUCCUAUCGAAACAAUAUAUAUACAUUUAGAUUUUUUCUUUUUCUUCUUUCAUAGGCCUAUUCUAUUGGUUUUACUUGUAAUGUGCUUCAUGUUAAUUCAUUUAUUCUUUGAUACAAUACAAUAAAUAAAGAUUCAGUUUUAUUUUCUUCCAAGCUUCAUAUAAUCUGUUAAAUUGGUCGAUUCAAUAUUUGUUUAAAGGUGCGUAUAACAAAUGUCCAUUAUUAUAACUUAAGGCACAAGGCAGAAACGUGUAAAACUAAAGGAUGACAUGUUCAUUUUAAAAUGGAAAAUUGUAAGGAAUGUCUUUCCUAGACACCGGUUAAGGAAAAAUAUAGAAGUUUUCUGUUGAAAAUUAUGUAUUCAAUUAGGUUUGAGAUUUACUCCACACCCCUCAUAAUUUGGGUUAUUUAUCCAUUAACCAAUGAGGACAAGUCACAUAAAUAGAUUUGCAUGUAGUACCCACAGAUAAUUUGUAAUCAAUUUUUACUUCACAUACAUAUGGCUUGUUCUCAUUAGUUGACGAGUAAAUACCACAAAUUAUGAAUGGGUAGUUUAGAAAAAAAUCAUUCAAUUAUUUAAAAGUUUGAAAAGUGAAAACCACUUGCAAGAUAUUCUAAUAUAUAAUCUAGAUCUAUUUUAAUUUAUAUUUCUCUUCUAGUUGAUGUAUUAUUGUCUUUAGAUCAUCUAUAGAUUUGAAACAAAGUAAUUGAAUCUCAGCUUCUUUAUCUUUUCAUUUAGUUCUUUUAUCAUUUGUUGCAUUAUGUAUGAAAUAUUGAACUAUUUUAAAAUUAUGAAUUUUUGGAUAAUGGAGUUUUAGAUGUAAACAAGAACUUUUUUUUUUUUGGUACAACAAGGGCCCGUUUGAAUUGACUUAUUUUUGAGUCAAUGCAAAAUAACUUAUACAAAUAAAUAAGUUUUUAAAAUAGUUUAUAAAAAAACAUCUAAUAAAAAUGCAAUUUUAGUUAGUGAGAACUUAUGAAUUAACUUCUUUUUUUUUUUACUAAAAUUUAUGGAUUAACUUAAAAAUAAGCUCAAAAAUAAGUCAUUUGAAUGGGCUCAACGUUUCAAUCUAACUCGUAUUAACCGACCCGUUCUACGCCGGCGCCACCUGUAUGACCCGAACAAACCAAAGAUGUAAUCAAUCCAAAUUGGAUCCGAAUUCAAUUGUUGCAAUUUUUACCAGUUUAGUAAAUUUCAGCCGAAACCAGUUCGAAACCGACCGAAACUCAAGGACAUGAUUCAAUGAUUUUGUCCUAAAUAUAAUAUUAACAAAAAAUUGAGUGAACAAAUAGUACAACUUUGCGGAUUUAGUCGUAUCCUGUGACCAUGAGCGGUCUGAUGGCGGUGCUGUAUUGGGUAGGACGUGCCUGCCCAGCAAAUAAAUGUAUUGAAAUUUUGAGACCUCACACACAAACAUUGGAACCAACUCUGAUGUUUCAAAUAUCAUUAAAAUAUGCGAAUGCGCGUAUCUUACUUAAGACACAACCAAACCACUACUACUGGCUAGUACAUACACACUACAUUGAGUCUGAGAUAUUGGGUUGGCAGCAAGAGACAACCACUUGCAAAUAUUUUAUUAUAUUUUAUUUCAGACAUGUUUUAUGGUCACUAUAUUCAGUCAUUAACGACACCUUAGGCCAAAUAUAACUACAGCUGUAUCCAAUUGAGUGCACUUUCCUUUGUUCCUUCCAUCCUUCAACACAUUAAUUCAUUCAUAACUAUAAAUACAUACAACUCCCACAAUCAUCUAUCCCUCCAAUAUUUCUUCAUACUAGCAAAAUAUACAUCACCUUCAAAUAUUAACCAUGGCAUUUACUCAUAAUUGUUCAAUCCUCUUUUCUCUAUUGGUCUUUGGUUCUUCUUUUAUCAUCUCAACAUAUGCGGCAGGAAAUUUCAACCAGAAUUUUGAUAUUACAUGGGGCGAUGGUCGUGCCAAGAUACUAGACAAUGGCCAACUUCUCACUCUUUCCCUUGACAAAGCCUCUGGGUCUGGAUUCCAAUCCAAGAACGAAUAUCUAUUCGGCAACAUUGAUAUGCAACUCAAACUUGUACCAGGAAAUUCUGCAGGCACCGUCACUGCAUACUAUGUAAGUACUCAGCAACACAAUUUCAUGUAAUUACUGUCUUAAUGCUACUGCUACAAUAAUAUUCAACUUUCAAAUUCAUGAUCAUGUGUUAAUUGUUUUUUCUAUGGCAUGCAGUUGUCAUCAAAAGGAUCAAAUUGGGACGAGAUUGAUUUUGAAUUUUUAGGGAAUGUGAGUGGAGAGCCAUACAUUCUACACACCAAUGUGUUUAGUCAAGGAAAAGGCAACAGAGAGCAACAAUUCUAUCUUUGGUUUGAUCCAACUGCUGAUUUCCACACAUAUUCCAUUCUAUGGAAUCCUCAGCGCAUUAUGUAAGUACUUUUUACAAUUACAAUUACAAUACAUACACAAACACCAGACACGAUAUGAGAUAUAGAAUUGACACAUGAUGUUGUACACUGACACGUGUCAGACACUAACCACAUUUUUAAUCUUAAGGCUUAGUGUUUGAUAAAUUUAAAAUUCCUUCAAAUUGUUUAUAUUUCACACAAUGAAUUGAUUAUUGAUGAGCCUGUGUUAAUUUAAAUGCAGUUUCUCAGUGGAUGGAACACCCAUAAGAGAAUUCAAGAACAUGGAAUCAAAAGGAGUUGCAUUUCCAAAGAAUCAGCCAAUGAGGAUAUACUCAAGUCUGUGGAAUGCUGAUGAUUGGGCAACAAGAGGUGGUAUUGUAAAGACAGAUUGGACAAAUGCUCCAUUCACAGCAUCAUAUAGAAACUUUAAUGCAGAUGCUUCUUCAUCCAAUGCAUGGUACUCUCAACAGUUNNNNNNNNNNNNNNNNNNNNNNNNNNNNNNNNNNNNNNNNNNNNNNNNNNNNNNNNNNNNNNNNNNNNNNNNNNNNNNNNNNNNNNNNNNNNNNNNNNNNNNNNNNNNNNNNNNNNNNNNNNNNNNNNNNNNNNNNNNNNNNNNNNNNNNNNNNNNNNNNNNNNNNNNNNNNNNNNNNNNNNNNNNNNNNNNNNNNNNNNNNNNNNNNNNNNNNNNNNNNNNNNNNNNNNUGGAAUGAGAAAUGAUGGAAUAGAUUAACGUUUUAUUGUUUGAAUUAUAAAAAUAACAAUGAAUUUCAUCAUAUACCACCACUUUACCCUCAAUUUUGUUCGAUCAUAAACUAUCGAAACAAUUGAAUGACGUAUUUAUUUUAUUCUGCUGCAGGACAAAUUGGUUCACGCAUACUUUUUGCUAACCAAACAAUCCAACAAAUUUAAACUGAUUUAAAUUUAAAUAUUAAUAAAUACUUGGGCUUCAAAAAUGAAUAUCACUGGCCCACAUGUAUGACCACUACAAAUCAGGAAAUCUGUCCAGUUUGGAAUGUAACUUCCGACUAAGAAUGUAGGUUUUGAAAUCAGUUCGGAUUGUACCUUCCAAAACAAAUUUUAACAACAAAAGCAUGAAAACUCAAAAAAUAAACUAUUUAAAGCGCAAAUUACUUGUUAUAUGACUCCAAAUGAGUAUAGGAUCCUUUAUGAGUGAAGAAAUGUUGCUUUGAAGGAUUCCAAACUCACAAGAUCCCGGUUGAGUGUUCAAGUAGUUAUGAAAGUACAGUUUCUGGCAGCCGACAUAUAGAAGAAAAAAUAGACAUGAUUUUUAGUCUUCAAAGAGACAUAAAUUGUUCAAUACCUUAAAAAAAAGUUGUGAUGUUUUAUCUUGUAAUAUUUUGUCUAAUAUUUGCUUUUUACGAAUCAAAUAAACCUCAUGGAAGUAGGAGUCAUUGUUAGGGAAAGGGGGUUUUGAGCAAAAGAAAUUGAACUUCAUCAAAAUUGUUAGUUUGACUAUUAUUUUGGUUAAUAGACAAAAUGACAAAAAGACAUUGAAAAUUCACACACAUAAGUAGAGAAGUUGGAGUUCGAAUCUCAAUCACAGCAUUUAAUCUAACAAUUUUGACAUUUUUACGAGAUAAGAGAUUAAACGAAAAUUGAAAUUUUAAUCUCUUAGCAAAUUAGAAUACAACUUUUUUAUCACAAAUAAUAGCACCAAAUAUCGUACGAAACAAAAAGUUGUUGAAACCUAAAAAAUUUGUUUAAGAGAGUCUGAAAAUUUACCAUGAAGAUGAUAUUUCUAUACUUAAAAUUUAAUUGAGUACAGUUAGUUAUUCAACUAAACUCGAAGUAGCUAAGAAUUAACUGUAAAAUUAUAUAUUAACCAUGUAGUAACAUUUGCCUUGCUGGAUUAACUAAGUCUCCUAUCCUCAAAAAUCUGGAUAUCUAUCUAAUGGCGGUGUUGGUAUGUUGGGUGAGACUCACGUNNNNAAUUAAUAGUAUCUUAUAUUAAGAUUUGAGACCCACAUACAUACACAUUACACAUUGGAGCCAACUCUUAUAAUAUGUGAAUACGCGUCUCCUAAACCAAUACUAGCUAGCUAGAUACUGUAGUAAUUUGAGUCUUAGAUAUUUCGGGUGUGUUUGAUUCGUAAAACAGUAAGAAUUGGACAAAACAGUAUAGGACAGAACAAGAUAAUACAUGACAGGACAAAACAGUACCAGAGAGAUAUAAGGCGAUAAUAUUUUUGUAUUUGAAAAUAAAAUGAGUAUUUUCGUACUUUUUAUAGUUGUACUAUGGACAAAAAGUUGUGUUGUGGUUCUGUGAGAGACAAAAAAUUUGUUUUUGUCCUGUCACUUGCUGCCUAAUUUGUCCAGUCUCAUAACCAAUUUCAAAUCAAACAUAAUACAACAAAAGUUAUCAUCUUCAGUCCCUAUUUUUUAGCGGAUCAAACACACCGGUUGGCGGACAGAAACUAGAAACGAGUGACAUCCUUUAUGGCAUGCAUGGUCAAAUUACAGCUGUGCACUUUCCUCUGUUCCUUCCUUCCUUCCAUCCUUCCACAAAUUCAUAACUAUAUAUACCACUACCACUUCUCUUCCACAAUAAUCCAUCCCUUCAACAUUUCAUCACAUCUCUACCAAGAUAUACAUACAUACAUAGACCUUCAAAUAUUAACUAUGGCAUUCACUCAUAAUUGUUCAAUCCUCUUAUCUAUACUGGUAUUUAGUUCUUCUUUCAUGAUUACAACAUAUGCAGCAGGAAAUUUCUACCACAAUUUUGAUAUUACUUGGGGCGAUGGUCGUGCCAAGAUACUCGACAAUGGCCAACUUCUCACUCUUUCCCUUGAUAAAGCCUCUGGUUCUGGAUUCCAAUCCAAGAACGAAUAUCUAUUCGGCAACAUUGAUAUGCAACUUAAGCUUGUACCAGGAAACUCUGCAGGCACUGUCACUGCUUACUAUGUAAGUACAAAUAAA
rnacentral:lncRNA from 1 species